AUAGUUCCAGACCAGUUUGAGCUACAAAGUGAAACCUUGUCUCAAAAACCAAACAAGAGCUGUCUGGCUGUCUCGGUGGCUAAGAGUGCUUAUUGGCUAUCAUAAGGACUAGGAGUUUGGUUUGGCUAGCAUCACUCCAGGAAACAGAACAGAUCUUCAAUCCCAGCUCCAGCGGAGACCUGAGGGCUUGCUGGCUUGCAGCUUAGCUGACAAAAGGCAGAAAGGGGAGCCGAAGAUUCAGGGAGAAACCCAAUCUUAAAGGAGUAGAUGACAUGGUAGAGAAGAUCACCCGAAGGCCCCUCUGGCCUCUGCUUAGAGAGAGAGGUGCUUACCAUCACACUCUUAUGCCCAUACAUUCACACACAAGUAUAUGCAUAACUCUAAAAUAAAUCUAUUUUUAAAAAAAAUGUUGGUUAUGGUGUCAUAAGCCUAAAAUUGUGGCAGCACUUAGAAAGUUGAGGCCAGAGUCAAUCAAACACAAAACCAAAUACCUUCUCCUAAUGGAGUGGGCAGGGGAGCAGUUCCUUCACUGUACCUCUGGCAUACAGGAAAGGGAAAAGACAAUUUCAAUAGGGUUAUUUGUGUUAUGUGAGGGGCAAAAAUAAUAGGGAUCAUACUGUGGGACUAGGGCAAAUAAACCCAAAUCCUUCCUCAGGUCUGUUUUUCUAAGUCAAAGGCAUCACUUGAUUCCAAUGCCUCCCAGAUGUGCUUUCUUCUUCUUUUAAAUUAUUUAUUCACUUUAUAUAUGAGUACACUGUAACUGUCUUGGGACUCAUCAGAAGAGGGUAUCAAAUCCCACUACAGAUGGUUGUGAGCCACCAUGUGGUUGCUGGGAAUUGAACUCAGGAUCUUUGGAAGAGCAGUCAGUGCUUUAAACCCCUGAGCCAUC
rnacentral:lncRNA from 1 species